GAGCCGGUGGCAGAAUGGGAUUGCGGCUGACUCUAAAUCAGCUGCCUGACGGCGGAGAAGGUUCGAUUCCUUCCCGGCUCA
rnacentral:tRNA from 1 species